GCGAGUGAAGCGGCAACAGCUCAAAUUUGAAAUCUGGCCCCCAGGGCCCGAGUUGUAAUUUGCAGAGGAUGCUUUUGGCGCGGUGCCUUCCGAGUUCCCUGGAACGGGACGCCAUAGAGGGUGAGAGCCCCGUCUGGUCGGACGCCUAGCCUGUGUAAAGCUCCUUCGACGAGUCGAGUAGUUUGGGAAUGCUGCUCUAAAUGGGAGGUAUAUGUCUUCUAAAGCUAAAUACCGGCCAGAGACCGAUAGCGCACAAGUAGAGUGAUCGAAAGAUGAAAAGCACUUUGAAAAGAGGGUUAAAUAGUACGUGAAAUUGUUGAAAGGGAAGCGCUUGUGACCAGACUUGGGCCCGGUGGAUCAUCCAGCGUUCUCGCUGGUGCACUCCGCCGGGUUCAGGCCAGCAUCAGUUCGCCGCGGGGGAAAAAGGCUUCGGGAACGUGGCUCCUACGGGAGUGUUAUAGCCCGUUGCAUAAUACCCUGGGGCGGACUGAGGUUCGCGCUCCGCAAGGA
rnacentral:rRNA from 1 species